rnacentral:rRNA from 1 species
UACGUAGGGUGCGAGCGUUGUCCGGAAUUAUUGGGCGUAAAGGGCUCGUAGGCGGUUUGUCGCGUCGGGAGUGAAAACCCAGGGCUUAACCCUGGGCUGGCUUCCGAUACGGGCAGACUAGAGGUAUGCAGGGGAGAACGGAAUUCCUGGUGUAGCGGUGAAAUGCGUAGAUAUCUGGAGGAACACCGGUGGCGAAGGCGGCAUCCUGGACCAACACUGACGCUGAGUGAGCGAAAGCCAGGGGAGCAAACGGG